rnacentral:misc_RNA from 1 species
AAAAAAAAAAGUCAACCAUAUGUUUUCUGUUGUAAAAUUGAUGACAGAUAUUUACAGGAAAUAUUGUUUGGAGUUAUUUGGUCCCUCCAUUAGCAGGAUUUGUAUGUACAUCACAUGAAUUAACGGUCUAUUGUCUUCUUUUGUCUAAUUAUUCUGCACCUUACUUUAAAUGGAGGUAAAUCUAUUAUCCCUUCUGGUGCUCGAUAGUUGGUCGUUCUUAUUGGUAUCCUGUGUGCUGUUGAAGGUAUUGAAUUGUUUUUCAAACCAGUUUUGCAGGAAAAGUACUUUACCUUGUAUUACAUCCCAUGCAGGAUUGCAAUACAUUUGUUGCAAGAUUCUCGUGAAUGAAGCUUAGCUCACUCCUCAAAGUUUGCUUCCAUGGGCAGGUAGCUCAUUUAACUUGCAUACAAGUGGUCAGAUAGGAACCCAUUUAGCGCUCUCAAGGGUUUUGUGAAGCAAUAUCCAGUGAAAAAAAAAA